ACAGAUAAGUUCAUUACAAUGUACUCCUUUUUCUCAUUUGAAGAUAUCAUUGCAAUCCAUCAAUAUUCAAUGACCAAUCGGGAUAAUGACAUUUUAUCCAUAUCAUGUUAUUAUGAACCCUUUUUAUUCAUAAGUUCAUGAGUUCCUAUCUAUCACAUUUACUUAAUUGGAUAUACCAAGUGCACAACAUCAUAUGAACAUCAAACAACCAUGGAAACUCAC
rnacentral:lncRNA from 1 species